AACUGCGUCGAGUUCGGUAGCGGAAACGCCCGACGGCCUGCAUUGAGAGCCGAGCAACUCGUAACGCAGUUUU
rnacentral:sRNA from 12 species